GCCAGGUGUGGUGAUGCACGCCUAUAAUCCCAGCAGCUUGGGAGGCUGAGGCAGGAGGAUUGUGAGUUCAAAGCCAGCCUCAG
rnacentral:sRNA from 1 species